rnacentral:RNase_P_RNA from 1 species
CCAGUCGGCCGGGCAGUCGCGUCCCCGCACUCGUGCGGGGCCGAGGAAAGUCCGGGCUCCGCCUGGCACGGUGGUGGGUAACGCCCACCCGGAGUGAUCCGCGGGACAGUGCCACAGAGAGCAGACCGCCUCCCCGCCCUCGGGCGGGGCGGUAAGGGUGAAAGGGUGGUGCAAGAGACCACCGCGGUCUCGGUGACGAGGCCGGCACGGUAAACCCCACCGGGAGCAAGGUCGGACAGGGCGCGUUCGAGGGUGCCAGCCCGAGCGUCCGGGUGGACCGCUGGAGGUCGUCGGCAACGGCGAUCCGAGAGGGAUGACUGUCGAACACAGAACCCGGCUUACAGGCCGGCUGGUCCG